AUGGAAAGGACUGACAACAGGUGCAGUUGUCUUGCACAUAUUCUAUUUAAGGUUGAUAAUGGUGUUCAUGAAGUCAUGUAGUACAUGUCUGAGCAUAAUCAUGCAUUUCUCCCAGAAAAUCAAAGGCACCUGAUAAGAUGUGGAAUGAUGAUAUUAGAUCCAAGUAAAGGAGUCUUGGAUGACAUGGCAAAAGCCAGCAUUGUAAAUUUCAGUCAUAUAACUUUUUGGAAAAUGAAGAUGGAGGAUGUAGAAAUGCAGGGUUUAGUUUGCAUGGUAGCCAUAAUUUCUUGCCAAGUCAAAGUUUAAGUAUUGCGAGGGGCAAGAUUGGCAAACUCUCUUGAAUCAUUUCAUGUACAUGCAGAUGCACAAUCCCAUGUUUUCUUAUGAUGUACAAGUAGAUCAAGAUGGCAGGUUGACAAACUUAUUUGGAGAAAUAGUUUGUCUUAAUUUGAUUAUGAUUGUUUCGGUGACAAUGUGAUGUUUGAUACCACAUAUCAUGUUAGUAAAUAUAACAUGAUAUGUGCAUCUUUUGUUGGGGUUAAUCAUCAUCUGAAGAAUACCUUGUUUGGGUGUGCUCUCUUAUUAGAUGAGACGGUAAAUUCAUCUAUAUGGCUAUUUGAUACGUUUUUGGAGGCAAUGGGAAAUGGGGCACCCAAAACGAUUUUCAUUGACCAAGACGAAGCUAUGGAAAAAAGCUGUUGAAAAGGUGUUUCUGAAUGCACAACAUUGUGUAUGCACAUCACACACUGCAAAGCAUGCUGCUAAAAACAUCCCCAAUCUUUAUGACAAGCCUGAGUUUGGGGACAUUUUCUCAAAACUACUAUUUGGCUGUGAAACAGAGUUCGUAUUUGAAUCCACUUGGAAGGAAAUGGGCACUAAGGAAAACUCUUGGCUUAACAGACUAUAUGAAUCGAGAAAUAAAUGGAGUGUGGCCUUUGGUGGAGGUAAAAUAUAUAAGGGAGACUGAAGUUUGAGAUGAUCACAAUUCUCGAGAUGUCUGAAUAUUGCAACACGGCAUAUGCAGGUGUACUGAGUCAGGGAUCAUCAUAUUCUUAUCAAUAUCUUGGCAGAAAUGUAGCCAAUGAAUCUGAAGGAACUAACAUGCAAGGUUUACAAGGUUGAUCAAUCCAUCGCUAGAGGCAGAGUAAAUAUGGUUUUGUGGGUAUAGAAUGUCUAACUUGGAUACAUGUAUAGUAUAUCUCAGGACAAGUAAGCAAUUUGUGCAUGGAAUGUUGAUUAUAUAUAUCAGUAUUAUGUAAGCUGGUUUAUCUUCACAUGCGGAGUAUAUUACUGUAGACCCUCUGUUACAGUCAUCCCUGUUUUGAGUGCUUCACAGGGAUCCUAUGCUGUAUAUUUUUUUUUCUGGUCAUCCGAUGUUUACCUUUGGCAGGCUCCCUUGGGAAUGUAAUUGUAAGAGAAAUUAGUUACACAAACUGUUUGGGUAGGA